rnacentral:rRNA from 1 species
UGGGGAAUUUUGGACAAUGGGCGAAAGCCUGAUCCAGCAAUGCCGCGUGUGUGAAGAAGGCCUUCGGGUUGUGAAGCACUUUUGUCCGGAAAGAAAUCCUUGGCUCUAAUACAGUCGGGGGAUGACGGUACCGGAAGAAUAAGCACCGGCUAACUACGUGCCAGCAGCCGCGGUAAUACGUAGGGUGCAAGCGUUAAUCGGAAUUACUGGGCGUAAAGCGUGCGCAGGCGGUUUGCUAAGACCGAUGUGAAAUCCCCGGGCUCAACCUGGGAACUGCAUUGGUGACUGGCAGGCUAGAGUAUGGCAGAGGGGGGUAGAAUUCCACGUGUAGCAGUGAAAUGCGUAGAGAUGUGGAGGAAUACCGAUGGCGAAGGCAGCCCCCUGGGCCAAUACUGACGCUCAUGCACGAAAAGCGUGGGGGAGCAAAACAGGAUUAGAUACCCCUGGUAGUCCACGCCCUAAAACGAUGUCAACUAGUUGUUGGGGAUUCAUUUCCUUAGUAACGUAGCUAACGCGUGAAGUUGACCGCCUGGGGAGUACGGUCGCAAGAUUAAAACUCAAAUGAAUUGACGGGGUCAUAGCUGUUUCCU